UGAGGAAUAUUGGUCAAUGGGCGAGAGCCUGAACCAGCCAAGUAGCGUGCAGGAAGACGGCCCUAUGGGUUGUAAACUGCUUUUAUACGGGGAUAAAGUUAGGGACGUGUCCCUUUUUCGCAGGUACCGUAUGAAUAAGGACCGGCUAAUUCCGUGCCAGCAGCCGCGGUAAUACGGAAGGUCCUGGCGUUAUCCGGAUUUAUUGGGUUUCAAAGGGAGCGUAGGCCGGAGAUUAAGCGUGUUGUGAAACUGUAGGAGCUCAACUUCUGCAUUGCAGCGCGAACUGGUUUCCUUGAGUACGUAGGAAGUUGGCGGAAUUCGUGGUGUAGCGGUGAAAUGCUUAGAUAUCACGCAGAACUCCGAUUGCGAAGGCAGCAUACCGGCGCUCAACUGACGCUGAGGCACGAAAUGCGUGGGGAUCGAACAGGAUUAGAUACC
rnacentral:rRNA from 1 species